CUUUGAUUCAGUUAGAAUAAUUAGAAUAGCAUGUAAAUAUUUAUUUUAAUGUACCUUUUUUUUGAAUUGUGAUGGCAAUAAAAAAAAAUAUUGCCUGAAUUUAUUGCUUAAAUAAUUACAAAGGUGAAUAAAAGUACCCAAAGUGCUAAAACUGAAGAUUUUAAGUAUUUAAAGCAUUGAUUUUCUAGAAAUAAAGCAGUAAAUUUUCCAAGAAACAGGAUUGCAUAUGCAAACAAAACGCUAAAGAAAUAUGUAUAUAAUUUAAUAAUGAAUAGGUAUAUAAAAUAAAUAGCAGGUUUGUUCACUUCACCCUACGAAGUGCUUAUUGGGUGCACUUAAAGGUUAAUUUUAACAUAGUAUAAAAAGAAGAAAUAUUCGGAGACAAAAAUAAUUUAUAACUUACUUUACUCACGUCCCAAAAUAUUUACUACAGCAAUUUAUUUAUUACUCCAACUCAAUUUAUUAUAUAAAACUUUGAAUAAAUAACCAAUUUAAUUAGUUUAAUUGCAAAAACUUAAUUAACUUAUAUAUAUGUAGAUAUUUUUGGAAAUAAUGUUAAUGUAGAAACAUUCAAAAUUUACAUGAAAAAUUAAUUUUUUUUGUAGUUAGUUUAGUUAAAGUUGCAUAAGUGGGCAUUAAUUUGUUUAUUAAACUAUGAUUAAGAAAUUUAUCUUAGGAUUUUUUUUAAAUUCAAAUUAUAAUGCGUUUAUACAUUAUGUAUUUAUUAACUUAUAAGGUACUUGUUUCCCCUUAUUAAAUCAUAAAUUUCAAUUUACAAAAAAAAACAACAAAGUUCAAGAGUUUACCAACUUUUCCUUUAAUAGAACUUUAAUCAUAUUGGAAAACUUUGUAAACAAUAUUUGGAAAGGAUCAGGAUUAAAGUACAUGAUGUUAAACAGAAAAAAUGGAUGACGCGCUUAAAGUUGAAAAACAUAUUUUAGUUAUUUGAUUCGAAACUUUUUCGAAGAAGAUGAAAAUAUUCGAUAACAGAUCUAUAAUGAACAAUAGGAUGAUAAUUAACUACUUUGGCUAUAAUGAAUAUCUUGAAAUAGUAAACGAACUGUAAUGCUCUUUUAUAUACUUUUACCAUCAUAAAUUUUUGAAUGAAAAUAUGUUAAGAUGUUCAAAUUUUUGUUCUUAGACCUAUGAAAAAAAUAUUUUAAUGAGUAAGCAAAAUAAAAAUAAUUUGUUAUUAAUCUUAAAAUUUUGUAUAAUUUUGCUGAGUAACAUUUUUCGCGGUUGUUAAUUUCUCUAUCUGCCACCGUCGCCUAAACUAAAGUUUGGGCAAAAAAAGAGUUAAAUGCUUUUUGUACUCGCUAAAAAUUAAAACUUUAAAUUCUUCAUUCCAUUUAAUUUUCCUAUCAAAUGUUCAUACAGAUUUAAAUAGCAUAUUUAACUUUUAUUAC